UGCCUCGUCGGGGAAGAAGGGAGCGCCUUAUUACCCGAUCCCGGCAAGGCUCGCCCCGUACCAGCUCGUCGCCAGUCAGCCACUUAAAGCGCAUUGGACUCCAUUAGGCGAAGAAGGCAUUGCGAGCUGGCGGAGCGCCUGGUUUCGCGUGGCGCGGUCGACUUCAUUAGUUGGAGGCUUCACGAGGUCCCGAUCCUUCUGGCAAGACGUCCAUGGAGUGAAGGAACACUAGCCGUCUGCUCUGUCUCUGAUCUACAAUGAGUGCCAAAUCUGCUAUCUACAAAGAAAUUUUUGCUCCACAUGAUGAAAGGAUGCUGGGAGCAGUCCAAGUAAAAAGGAGAACGAAGAAAAAGAUUCCUUUUCUAGCAACUGGGGGUCAGGGUGAAUACUUAACCUAUAUCUGCCUGUCAGUGACAAACAAGAAACCUGCACAGGCAUCUAUUACAAAAGUCAAGCAGUUUGAAGGUUCUACGUCAUUUGUGCGAAGGUCACAGUGGAUGCUUGAACAACUUCGCCAGGUUAAUGGCAUAGACCCUCAUAGGGAUUCUCCAGAAUUUGAUUUAUUAUUUGAAAAUGCUUUUGACCAAUGGGUAGCAAGUACAGCCUCUGAAAAAUGUACAUUCUUUCAAAUUCUCCAUCAUACCUGUCAGCGUUACCUCACAGACAAAAAACCAGAAUUUAUCAAUUGCCAGUCUAAAAUUAUUGGAGGAAACAGCAUAUUACACUCAGCAGCAGACAGUGUAACCAGUGCAGUACAAAAGGCAAGUCAAGCUUUGAAUGAGCGUGGCGAAAGGUUAGGUCGAGCAGAAGAAAAAACAGAGGAUAUGAAGAACAGUGCUCAGCAGUUUGCAGAAACAGCACACAAGGAGUACCAGUUCACACCAGAAAGCAUUAUCAUCAACUACAGAGGAGCAAGGAUAGUUGGAAUGCAUUCCCAGAGGCCCAGGGAGGGGGGAAGAGCAGAAAUAGAGACCAAGAGAGCUGGUUGAAAAAGAAGAGAUAAGCUGAUACAGAUGCUAAAGACAUCACAGGCAGUUCCCAGACUCUCGACAGAAGGCUUGCUAGGGGAAGAAAUUAUACAGCUGCUUUGACAGGAUCAUCAGGGACAUGACACAAAGUUGGGAAUAGGUACUCCUGGCCACUGCCUCUGCCUGAGUUUCAAGGAGAAGUGGUCUUCCAAGAAUGUGGGCCCCAGUUCAUUAAAGCUUGCUAUGAAGCACAAGUGUUGAAGAUGAGCAGUACAGAUGUUGCUCAUAGAGGAACUCAAAGCUAGGUUCAUCACUUUUUAUUGGAGCUACAGCCUCAUUUCUGUUUUUUCCUACUGUCCAACGAAGCCCAGUUAUUUCAAUUGCAUGUAGGAAAUAAGUUGCAUUCCUACAAUUUCUAUUGCUAAGCAAUUCUGCAAUAUUGUCAAGCUUUUUAUUUUAUUUAAAAUAAGACAUAUUGUUAACACGGCAAUUGGACCAAAGAGCAUAGAGAACUGUGCUAAUCUGCAGAAUCCCACUGUUCUCAGUAUUAAGCAGGAAGGAAUAAAAUUAGCUGCAAGAGAAAUUAACAAAUGAAAACAAAAUCCAAGUACUUGCUACAUAAUUGUCUCAUAGCACAAUUUUUGGAGUUAUGUGGCUCGUGCCUUCAACAAAAUGGGUUGCUAUAAAAAUGGUUCUGACUUCUAAGUUCUUCCAGUUUUAGUAAGCAUAUUUUGCAUGUGCCAUCCAAAAUGCAAAUCUGAAUUUGAGACGUCAACACAACUCUUGGAAAACUAUUUUUUGCUGUCUGGAUUCAUUUUUUUUAACAAUGCAAUAACACCAGGAAUGCACACGAGAUGUUAGGACCUAAGACUGAUGGUUAAAUCUCUUAAAGGCCUUUGCGUUGAUCUGGAAUUUAGCAGUUGAGUGUAAAAUAAAAUGAAAAUUAAAAAUUGCUUGAUUGCCAUCAGAUAAAACAACUGUUUUAUUUAUGAAGGGCAGUGUUUUUAAAACUUGUAAAUAUUCUACAGAAAUCAUUCCAUCAUUUUAAUAUGUCCACAAACUGAACUACAGUUGUCGCUGUUGCAGCUAAGUCAUACUUUGAUCUAACUCAGAUCAGGGUAGGACUGACACUGAGAGAUCUGUGAAUUAAUUCUCCACUGUUGAAACUGCAAAUUCCCUCCUGGUUCCAAUCAGAACCAUAUCACAUAGGGAAAAGUCUAACCUUCUUUCCCAGCACCAUUUUCAUAAUUCCACUUUCCGUGGUUCCAAAGUCUGCUGUGUUCUUGUAUGAAGGGUGCAGGAACAGGGUUAAAUCGUCACCUCUCUCGUCUCCAUGGUAUGACCCAAAAUCACAGCAGAAUGCCUGUUUCUUGAUCACCUGUUAUCACGUCUCAGCAAAGCUGGUACAUACAAUUACGUCUCCCCAUUACAGUGCUGGCUGUUGUUGACACAAAGGUCUAUUUUCUCAGUAGAGCUAGUAAGAAUACAGUUAUAAAAUAUUCCAGUAAUACCAACAUGGGACUUAUUUGUGUUAUAAUGCCAUAUCAUAUGUAUAAGGAGAGUGUGCCAAUUAUACAGUCAUGUGCAUAGGGCGGAUUGCAUCCAUUUUAUUCCAUCACUUCCCAUUUGGAGAGAAUAUAGAACACCUCACAUUAUCUGCCCUAUACAUGUUGUCACAUCAUUUAUAUGUUGUCCGUAGUCACGUAAGAUAUUACAGGAAACUUUCUCCCACUAAGCUGCAUAUGAAAAACUGCUAAUUUUGACAGAUGAUUAAUUUUCAACAACUAUGAAUGAAAUUACAUGUUUAUAGAAUUCAUGAAAAUGGUAGAUGAACUGGAUCUCAGGAAGACUGCUAAAUUCCAGUUUGUUUUUUCAUUGCCUGGACUAUUGAGUAUUUUGGAUUGCCAUCAUUUUUUUUACAAAUUUUCUUAUGUUGUCUUUGCAUUACACCUCAUGGUUCAUUUAGGCUGUCAGUAUGGAACUUGUUUUCAGACCAUAUUGUUUUCAUGCCAAACAAUAACAUCCAUUCGAUGCACACAUGCGCACCCUCCCCCCACAAAUUCAGAUAAGCUAUUUUAAUUCAUAGCUCACAACUUCCAUUCAGUAAUCCAGUCACUUGGUAUUUUCUUAGAAUAAUUAGAAGGAAGUGUGCCAACAUCCCAUAUUAAAAUUAAAGUUUAUAUUGCUAAAUAUUUCUUCCUGGAACAUAGUUGUAGCAUAUAAUUCUAGUGUUAGAUAUUUGUGUACAUUAAGUAUACAGUAAUUCAGGUUAAUGUUUCAUAUUCAAGAAUGUAUUUGUAAAAUGUAACAAGAUCAAUAGUUUCCUUAUUACCUUUUUAAAGUUCUGCAGAUACUAAAAAUUAUGUAUUGCUUAGACUUAAGACAUUCAUUCUAUUGGAGCCUAUUUAUAUGGCUAACAAAAAGUUGUGAAUUAAUGUGAAAUCUUACUCUAAUCAAGUGAUCUUAACAGUUUGUUUUGUUUUAAUAUGUCAAAAUUGUAAUACUUGCUAAUACAAUGUUGUUUACUUUCCACAGUAUGAAGGGUAUAGAAAGUUUUUGUGCCAUUCUGAAAUAAAUGGGACUGCCUGUCAGUUCAUCUUUGCAAAUUCUGUUUUUACUCAUUAAAUAUUUAAUGAUGACCAAACAUAUUUCUUCUGCCUUGUUCAAUAGAAGCUGUGAUAGAAUAUAAAUGCAAAUUAAAACUCUCAGUGGGGGGAUUAUUGAUCCACUUCUCUGAAUCCUUCUGGAAAAUUUGAUCCUUAGUGAACUAAUUUUGGAAACAGGGAGUUCAGAGCUCUAGGGAGCAGCUGUUCAUGCAAAUCUCUCCAUGUGUGGCUGUGGCUAUUAGAACACUUGCCUGUGUUGCCUUCCAGCAGCUUUAUACGAAGCCAUUCAUGUGCAUCUGGCAUGCAGCUGAUUGGCAUUUGGCUCACCAUAGAAGCAACGUGAGUAAGUUAUUUCCUGUGAACACUGCAUAAUUGAUUGUGUGAACAAACCCUGACAAACAUGGCUGAGUUGUGUACAUGUGCAUAUAAACCAUUCAGGAUCUUUCAGGAUCAGUUCACAAAGGACCCCUAUAUGCAUGAUCUAUACCUAAUGAAGUAUAGAAAUUACCCCUGGAUCUCUCAUGUCCAUGCAUGAACACACAUCAUAUAUAAAGAAGAAUGUGAUGCAUCAUCUCAUUCAUGUGCCCUGGCCGUGCAAUGUGACCCUCAGUAAAGUGAGAGGAUGGCUCACAUGACCUCAGUCCAUAUGUAUUUGAAUGCUGCAUCAUACAUGUUUACAUGGAUGAAUGUGUCUCAGUGUGCAUAGCCCAUGCCUACAGGGGUGGCGUAUGAACUUAAAUUCAUACAUAUGUACAUAAACAUGGGCACGAGUGCUUUCUUUUCUCCCACUUUUUCACAAAAAAACUCAACAUUGUGAGACCUCAUUGUAGGCAAAAGUGCCUAAUAAAUUUAGAUUAACAUACUAGCAAUCCAAGAGGGAGCAGCUGUUCAGUAAGAUAUUUUAAUGUUUUAUGCUUAUCAUACAUAGGCCUUAAGUAAAAUGUUUGCUGAAUUCUGGGCCCAAGCUUUAAUGUGUGUUCCAAGCAAAUUAGAUUGUCAAAAAAAUGUGAUUAUAUUCUGAAGCCUGAAAUGUGCACAAGGCUAGAAGAAGCUGAUUGCUGAUGGUAUUUACACAUCAAUUCAGGGGAUUAGAUUGUCACCUUGUGCAUUCCAUCAUUCUGGAUUAUUUUGGUUUUGUAUUGCAUCUGUACUGUAAAUAUUGACAUUGCUAAGUUACCUUUAGUAAUAAGCUGUUAUGACACGUUGUCAAAUCAAUCUGUCCUCUUGAAGACCGAUUGCUGUGGAGCUUCAAGUGUCCACAGUGCUCAACUACAUUACUGAAUAUUGCAACUGCAAGUAGCAGUUUGUCCCUUUCAAAGAUGACUACCCAGGCCCAGAAAUUACUGGAUUCUUGGACUGUAAUUUGGUAAAACUAGAAUUUGCUGUAUGUAAUAUUUUCUCUUGUUGUAUGUGGUGAUUCCUAUGAAACUGUACAAUUGCAAUUUUGAUUUCAUAAUAAAGAUUUUAAUAAAUACAUGAA